GAAAACUGAGUUGCUGCAAUGGCAAUGUUACCAUCAAAAUUGCUGUUCUUUUUUAGUCCUGUUUUCAUUCACCUCCUCGUUCUCACUAUGGCACAAACAAAUCUGCUUCAGCACUUUUGUAUAGAAAAUCAUGGUAACUUCAGUGCUAAUAGUGACUACAAAUCAAACCUCGAUCGCCUUAUCUCCUCCUUCUCUUCUGAUACAAAUAAUGAUUAUGGGUUUUACACUGGCUCCUUUGGCGAAAACAUCGACAAAGCUUAUGCAAUUUCGCUUUGUAGAGGAGAUAAAAAGCCUGAAACCUGCCGUAGUUGCAUUAAAAAUUCCAGCCAAGUGCUCUCACAACUUUGUCCGAACCAAAAGGAGGCCUAUAUUUGGUAUGAUGAUUGUAUGUUGAGGUAUGCAAACCAUACCAUUUUUAACAGUAUGGAAUUCGGUCCGUACUUUUGGAUGUACAACCUGGUUAAUGUUACCGACGAAAAUGAGUUCAAUGAGGUGCUAAAUGCCUUGUUAGGCAGACUGAUAAAUUUUGCAGCGUUAGGUGAUUCACGAAGAAAAUUUGCUGCCGGAAAUGCGACCGCAGAAAAGUCUCAUCAAACAAUGUAUGCACUUGUUCAGUGCACUCCUGAUUUGACUCAGCAGCAAUGCAGGGAUUGCCUGAAUCAAGCUAUCAAAUUGAUUCCAACAUGCUGUUCUAAGAGGCAAGGAGGGAGGGUGGUUUCACCUAGCUGUCACUUUCGAUACGAAAAGGACCCUUUCUAUGACCUUGCAAGCACUUCGCCACUGCCACCAUAGGCAACAGAACCAGCAUUUCCAUACCAAUAUCGUGAGGAAAAUAAGUAUUUCAGAUUUUUUAUCAGAAUAUAUUCUGUAAAAAAAUAUGCUAAAACACAACCUUACAUAGUUCGAACUGCCAUCGUAGUGUUAUUGUGGUCCUUGCAGCAUGUAUGAGCCGCCUGACCGCUAGCCCUCUACCUAAUGUCACUUUUCUUGUUUACAGCACUCAGAUUUCUUUCAAAACAAUAAAUUAAAAUAGCUAUGAUCUGUAUGGACAUCUAUUUCCUCUGAAUCUAUUUAAUAAUAAGAGCAGUUUGGACACUAUUUUAAUUA